GCCUGGGUGGCUCAGUCGGUUGAGCGUCCGACUUCGGCUCAGGUCAGGAUCUCGAGGUUCGUGAGUUCGAGCCCCACGUCGGGCU
rnacentral:tRNA from 1 species